rnacentral:rRNA from 1 species
UACGAAGGGGACUAGCGUUGUUCGGAAUUACUGGGCGUAAAGGGCGCGUAGGCGGCCUUCUAAGUCGAACGUGAAAUCCCUGGGCUCAACCCAGGAACUGCGUCCGAUACUGGAAGGCUUGAAUCCGGGAGAGGGAUGCGGAAUUCCAGGUGUAGCGGUGAAAUGCGUAGAUAUCUGGAGGAACACCGGUGGCGAAGGCGGCAUCCUGGACCGGUAUUGACGCUGAGGCGCGAAAGCCAGGGGAGCAAACGGG